rnacentral:tRNA from 1 species
ACUAUUUUGGCAGAAAUAAGUGCGUUAGAUUUAGAAUCUAAAUAUAUGAUUGUUGUCAUAGAUAGUA